GACGAACGCUGGCGGCGUGCUUAACACAUGCAAGUCGAACGAAGUGGCGAACGGGUGAGUAACGCGUAAUCAACCUGCCCUUCAGAGGGGGACAACAGUUGGAAACGACUGCUAAUACCGCAUACUGAAGGAGGGGAUUGCGUCUGAUUAGCUAGUUGGGGGGGGAACGGCCUACCAAGGCGAUGAUCAGUAGCCGGGCUGAGGGGAUGGACGGCCACAUUGGGACUGGGAAACGGGCCAGACUCCUACGGGAGGCAGCAGGGGGGAAACUUCCGAAAUGGACGAAAGUCUGGCGGAGCAACGCCGCGGGAGAGAUGACGGCCUUCGGGUUGUAAAGCUCUGUUAAGCGGGACGCGGUACCGGAAGAGAAAGCCACGGCUAACUACGUGCCAGCAGCCGCGGUAAUAC
rnacentral:rRNA from 1 species